rnacentral:misc_RNA from 1 species
GGAAGUAAAAGUCGUAACAAGAUUUCCGUAGGUGAACCUGCGGAAGGAUCAUUCAUAAUAAGUGUUUUAUGGCACUUUUUUAAAUCCAUAUCCACCUUGUGUGCAAUGUCAGGGUUGGUCUCUUUUGAUCAGCCCCAAACAUCAACUAUUAUCUCAACUCUUUGUCUGAAAAAUAUUAUGAAUAAAACAAUUCAAAAUACAACUUUCAACAACGGAUCUCUUGGCUCUC